rnacentral:rRNA from 1 species
GCUGGUUGGUAGGGUAAAGGCCUACCAAGGCAAUGACGGGUAGGGGACCUGAGAGGGUGGCCCCCCACAAUGGAACUGAAACACGGUCCAUACACCUACGGGUGGCAGCAGUAGGGAAUAUUAGAAAUGGACGAAAGUCUGAUCUAGCAACACCGCGUGUGCGAAGAAGGCCUUCGGGUCGUAAAGCACUUUUUGGAAGGAAUAGGAAGGAAUGUACUUCCAGAAUAAGUCUCGGCUAACUACGUGCCAGCAGCCGCGGUAACACGUAGGAGGCAAACGUUAUCCGGAUUUACUGGGCGUAAAGCGCGUGUAGGUGGUUCUGUAAGUAGGGCGUGAAAGCUCCCGGCUCAACUGGGAGAUGCCGUUCUAAACUGCAGAGCUAGAGGAUGGUAGAGGGAGGUGGAAUUCCAGGUGUAGCGGUGGAAUGCGCAGAUAUCUGGAGGAACACCAGUGGCGAAGGCGGCCUCCUGGACCAUUCCUGACACUCAGACGCGAAAGCUAGGGUAGCAAACGGGAUUAGAGACCCCGGUAGUCCUAGCCCUAAACGAUGUAGACUAGGCGUCGGUGGUUUAAUCACCAUCGGUGUCCAAGCAAACGCGAUA